rfam:Ictidomys tridecemlineatus contig059863, whole genome shotgun sequence.
GGAUGUGAGGGCAAUUUGGUUGUGACCUCUGCUACCCCACUGGUUUCUAGGGUUGGUUUGGUUAAUCUAGUCAACUAAGCAGGUAUUCCCUUCCUCCCUCAUCCCUCAAUGUGCUGAUCACUGAAGCUGUGCACUCAGUGAAAGAAGACAACCUUCCCCAGCAGGACUAUCCUUCAGUCAAGGAUGUAUGAGUAGCUGUGCUUCACUACUGGAACCUCUAAACAAGCUCUCAAGGAAAGGAAGAAAAGAAAGUGGUAGAAAGAUGACUUUUAAUCAUGUAGCCUUUUGCAACUGGGAUUUUUGAA